AGCAAAAAACAUCUAAUCCAAACGUCUAAUCCAAUCGGUGUCAAAUUGCUGGUGUCCACUAAUAUCUAACAUUCCAAGUUCCAAUGCAAGCCGUUCAAAACGAUAGCAAUUUCCUAGGAGAUUUCUUUUCUGCUAUCCUUCCUCUUCAGAUUUCUCUAGAUCUCCUUCAAUCUGGAUUUCUCAACCCUUUCUCCUCUCUUCCACGCUGAAGGCAAGUGAAGCUUGUAUCCUCCAGGUAUGUUUCAUCUCCCUUUCUUAAAGCUUCUGUUGCAAGUUCAUGAGGUUGACUAUUCUCUGAUCUGUGAAUAAACUGGAAGUUGCUUUCUUGAAAAAAUUAUUUCUUUCUUUGAAUAUCUCGGAUGACUGCCCCUAGCACUAACUUAUCUGUUGCUGUUGAGUUGCAUAUUUUAUAACUAUUUUUAAGUCUCCCAUUAUAAUAACUGAUUGAAAACCCAGUGAGAUCUCUAACUUUACUGCUUGUAAUCCUGCAUAUGCCUCUGCCAUGAAUGGGGACGAUAUUGCGAAAUGGAGUACUAAUUUUAAGGCAAAAAACUCGUCCAUCUCCCUCCGUACCACCAGACCUAAAAUCGAUCUUGAAUAUUUGCUAUCGAAUGCUGCGUCAAAAUAGAUAGUUGCUGUCGUAUUUCUUGUGAUCUAUCUCUAACUUCUGUUAUCAACUAAGGUAGAUGGUUUUUCUUCCAAUCCAUUUAUUUCUGCUAUAUAACCGUAAACUCUUUUUGAUAACUCUCGUUCCUGUUGUUGUUUUCCCCUCAUGGGCAAGUUGGUUUCUGGCACUCCAUAUCAUCCAUGCAGCACAGCAAAAAAGGCGACAUUGUUGACUGUUACCUAUGGUAAAAACCCAAGUAAGCCAGUCCCACAGAUCUGGAAUAGCAUUAUUUGUGACCCAUGAGAGAUUAAUAUUUUGCCAUGUUUCUGUUCUUGUAGGGCACUAUCUAAACACAUGGUUGCUAUGUUCUUUUGCAUUUCGACACCGGGGGCAUGAGCUAUCUGAAGCCACUCUUCUUAGUCUUAAAUUCUUUAGGGUAGGGAUAAAGUUCCAUGAAAGACGCCAAAUAAUGAUGGCAAUUUUUAAUGGGUGGUGUAAAUUCCAUAAUUUCCUAUAGAAAUUUUUUGUUUCAGUCUAUAUUAAAUAAGCACUAGGAUCCUAGUUGCCUCUUGUAAUAGUUUAUAGGCACUUCUAACUGUAAAUUCGUCAGAAUGUUCUCCUCGCCAGACUUGGAAGUCGUCAUGUUCUUUCACAAAAUGAAUUUGCAGAAUCUUUUGUGCAGUAUUUUUUGGAAAGGUAUUUUCAAUUAGAUCAGCUUUCCACUUUCUUGUUGUUGCUUCAAUUAAGUCCGAAACUAACUCAAUUCCUAUAUUGUUGAUGUUGUCAUUACUUCUAUUAAUAUCUACACCUAG
rnacentral:lncRNA from 1 species